AUUGAACGCUGGCGGCAGGCCUAACACAUGCAAGUCGAACGGUAACAGGAAGAAGCUUGCUUCUUUGCUGACGAGUGGCGGACGGGUGAGUAAUGUCUGGGAAACUGCCUGAUGGAGGGGGAUAACUACUGGAAACGGUAGCUAAUACCGCAUAACGUCGCAAGACCGAAGAGGGGGACCUUCGGGCCUCUUGCCCUCGGAUGUGCCCAGAUGGGAUUAGCUAGUAGGUGGGGUAACGGCUCACCUAGGCGACGAUCCCUAGCUGGUCUGAGAGGAUGACCAGCCACACUGGAACUGAGACACGGUCCAGACUCCUACGGGAGGCAGCAGUGGGGAAUAUUGCACAAUGGGCGCAAGCCUGAUGCAGCCAUGCCGCGUGUAUGAAGAAGGCCUUCGGGUUGUAAAGUACUUUCAGCGGGGAGGAAGGGAGUAAAGUUAAUACCUUUGCUCAUUGACGUUACCCGCAGAAGAAGCACCGGCUAACUCCGUG
rnacentral:rRNA from 1 species